CGGCCGCUAGGUGCUGCUGCUGGGCAAGGAGCCGAGCCUGGGCUGUCCGUGGGAAGGAACGCUUCGGGUCGGGGGUCUCUGGGGCUCCCACGCGGUCUGGUGUCACCCCGCGGGGUCACAGAGCUGCUUCGUCCCCACGGUUUCCAGUAUUAUUCGUUCCCACGGACGCGUUCUGUGCCGACGUUCAGUCAGAUUUUUCAGCUUGGCUGUUUCAGGUCGAUGCCAUCCGAGAUUCAGCCUCAAGGUCCUCGCUUGCUGCCUUCCCCGCGGUCCCUGCAGGCUGCACUUUGGCCACAUGGUAAUUAAAAAUGCAGAAGAGCGAUCGAUCCAUUUAAAUAGUAACAAUUCACAUUCAUCCGGUGCUUUUCACUUCCAAUCUUCAGCAACACCACCCUUGCAGGCAGCCUGGUGGAAACGGCUCGGUGCUGUGGAGGUUCAGUGAGCAGGAAGAGCAACACUGAGCUCUGCUCUGUUGGUUAUGGCCACAUCUGUUGCUGAGGCUGCAGCUCGGGGAUGUCUUUUCCCCCCCCAUAGGAGCUGCUGCAGUUCUGGUGCUGCCCCUGCUCCAAGCACUCUCCUCGUGCCAUCCUGCUGCAGGAGCUGAGUUCAUCCAUGCACUCGAGAGGGGAAUCAAAUGCUUCCCACAGCCAGAAAUGAGGUCUGUGGUUGGCCAGAGCCACCAGUGGAGUGCUUCAGCAUGGGCUUGCCCCAGUGGGGUUCCAGCAAACCUCUCUUUCUGGCUGCCUCUGUGCCUGCUCAGCUCCCAGCCAUCGCAGCACACCAAGGCGAGUGCUUCCCAUACUCACAACUGUGUCCUUCCAGAUAUUUCAUCCCUUUGAGAAAAGGAGAGCCAGGAAGACAUGGUCAGGUUCCCAUUGUAGGGGGGAUUCUGGGGAUGCAGCAUCCCUGAGCACGGGGUGGAGGAGCUGCACUCAGCAACACCAACACUUCCAGGCUACCCACAUGGACAGGGGGAGCCAUAGAGCAAGCCCAGAGCUUCACCCUGCUGCUGAUUUGACCUCAUUAUUAUUAAUUACCUUGGAAAGCACAUGUUGGCCAAUCAGCAGAUGUUCCAGCCUCAACCUGGCUUUUAUUCCUCAGCAGGAACCCCCUGGUCAGCAGCAGCAGGCAGCAGAUGGCUGCUCUCUGUUGGAGAUGGGUUUGUAUGCAGCUCACUGCCCACUGCAGAGCCUCAACUGGAAAUCACAGAGCAGAGCAGCGCUUUGUGGGACAGACCUCCAUCCAUUGCCAGGCUCCCAUCAACCUGGGUCCCCCCCCGGGGCUUUGAAGAGUGAUGGCAGCACCACAGGACACACAGCACCGCUGUGCUCAGCUCAGGGCUCAGUCCGCAUCCCCUCCUCUCCUCAAAAGGACACAACCACUGCCCCCAGAGCGCUGUUAGGAAUUACCUUGAUGGUGCUUUUCCAGAAUCCCCCGUUAAACCAACAGGAAGGAAGAACUGCAGUCAUCCCCCCUGGCUGCUGGUUGCACAGAGCCGCGCGGGGCCCCGGGCUGCUCACAAAGUCAGGCCAGGCUUCCAGUUUAUACAGUUUAAUACAUGUGAAACGAGAUACAUUUCCUUUUGAGUAAUGAAUGCAUAAAUAACAGAA